UAAUACGUAGGGUGCAAGCGUUAAUCGGAAUUACUGGGCGUAAAGCGUGCGCAGGCGGUUCCGCAAGUCAGAUGUGAAAUCCCCGGGCUCAACCUGGGAACUGCAUUUGAAACUAUGGAGCUAGAGUGUGUCAGAGGGGGGUAGAAUUCCACGUGUAGCAGUGAAAUGCGUAGAGAUGUGGAGGAAUACCGAUGGCGAAGGCAGCCCCCUGGGAUAACACUGACGCUCAUGCACGAAAGCGUGGGGAGCAAACAGGAUUAGAUACCCUGGUAGUCCACGCCCUAAACGAUGUCAACUAGUUGUUGGGUCUUAAUUGACUCAGUAACGCAGCUAACGCGUGAAGUUGACCGCCUGGGGAGUACGGUCGCAAGAUUA
rnacentral:rRNA from 1 species